AUUGAACGCUGGCGGAAUGCUUUACACAUGCAAGUCGAACGGCAGCACGGACUUCGGUCUAGUGGCGAGUGGCGAACGGGUGAGUAAUGUAUGGGAACGUGCCCAGUCGGGGGGGAUACGGUAGUGAAAAUUACGCUAAUACCGCAUACGAUCUAGGGAUGAGAGCGGGGGAUCGAAAGCCCGCGCGCGAUUGGAGCGGCCGAAAUCAGAUUAGGUAGUUGGUGGGGUAAAGGCCCACCAAGCCAACGAUCUGUAGCUGGUCUGAGAGGACGACCAGCCACACUGGAACUGAGACACGGUCCAGACUCCUACGGGAGGCAGCAGUGGGGAAUUUUGGACAAUGGGCGAAAGCCUGAUCCAGCCAUUCCGCGUGCAGGAUGAAGGCCCUCGGGUUGUAAACUGCUUCUGUACAGAACGAAAAGGUUUCUACUAAUACUAGGAGCUCAUGACGGUACUGUAAGAAUAAGCACCGGCUAACUACGUGCCAGCAGCCGCCGUAA
rnacentral:rRNA from 1 species